rnacentral:rRNA from 1 species
UACAGAGGAGCCAAGCGUUGUCCGGAUUGACGGGGCGUAAAGCGCACGCAGGCGGACGCGCGCGUGGGGGGUGAAAUCUGGCCGCUUAACGGCCAGGCGCCAUCCCAUACGGCGCGUCUGGAGUGAUGCAGAGGUCGAUGGAAUUGCCGGUGUAGUGGUGAAAUGCGUAGAGAUCGGCAGGAACACCCAGGGGGAAACCAGUCGACUGGGCAUCUACUGACGCUGAGGUGCGAGAGCGUGGGGAGCGAACCGG